ACUGGUUCCAAGUGGUGGGUAGA
rnacentral:miRNA from 3 species